rnacentral:tRNA from 1 species
GGGAAGUUAGCCAAACGGUUGAAGGCAGCAGACUGUAAAUCUGUGACGUAAGAUACACUGAUGGUUCGAAUCCAUCACUUCCCACCA